GAUAAAAUUAAAUAAUGAUUACAAAUCACAAAUAACUAUUACAGUCAUGGCCAAAAAUAUUGGCACCCCUGCAUUUAUGUCAAAAAACACACCCCUUCUUCCAGAAAAUUGUUGCAAUUACAGAUGCUUUGGCAUUGUCAUAUUAAUUUCUCUUGUUGGCAAUUGAAGAAAACAAAAAGAGGAAGAAGGAAUAACAGGAAUGGGAGACAUUCCACGCCAAAGGGCACCUGCCCUUCUCAUAUUGUCUCAAAAACCCAAAGCCCCAGAGAGCAAGUCAGAGUGCUAAGAAUUAUAGCGCCAACAAGCCCAUGGCCCCUUUUCAUGUAAAACUUCGUAUAUGAGGAUGUUUGUGCAGUUUAGUGCCUCUCUUAGCCUCGGCUCCUGUAAAUCAUAUAAGCACACCCACCACACCCCCAGGAGCAUUCCGCGUGCCCCCACCUGCCAACCUGCCUGUCCCCCCCAGCCCACAGGCCGUCUGUUGUUCUGAAAUUUAUCCACAUGACUCCUGACCAAGUCUAAGGUAAAUCAGAUUCCAUCUAUUAGAAAUGAAAUUUUCAGUAAAAUACAAAUUUUUCCCCCAAUCUGGGAGACAGUGCAGAAUUUUUGGAGUCGGUCCUAACUCUGUCUUGAAUAUGUACCCAGCAGGCACCUAGGACUGGUAUCUCCCUCUGAGAAUCUUUCUAAGGCGCUCAGCAGCAGAAAUUCUCCAUCCUAGAUGAGCCUGCAAAGUUCUGUAGAAGUUAAAUAUACUUUAGUCAAAUGAGAGACUAACCUGUUGUCAGGCAGGGGAAGCUUGAACAAGGCCUUCAUUCAUGACAGCUCCACUUGGCUUUUUGACGAGUCCCCAUUUAGAUGCAGCACGUCAGAGACUGAAGAGCAGGAUGAAGGCUAAAUUCUCUCAAGAAAGAAGUUGCCUCUUACCAUGUCACAAGCAAUUAGUUUCACCCAAAAAGGAGGAGGACCCCUCUCUGCUCCCCGUGUUAAAAAACAAUACACCGCCUCACAGGCCAGAGCCACAGCCUUCUCCUCUCUGCUGGGUGGAAGAACAACUCUCAC